ensembl:lncRNA
AAAAUCUAUUUUUCUAUUUCAUCUGCCGCAGCAUUCGAUUUCUGAGGAUUCAAACAAGGGCUCCGCCUAAAGGUUCAGCCAAGUCACAGUUUAAAUUAAAAGAGCUCUUUGCUAGACUAGCGUUGCACUCCUGUUUGUUCACGACUGAUGGUUUUGGAUAAAAUAUCGACGAUGAGCAGCCAGUUAUUAUGUCUUUGUUCUUCCACACUUCCUUCCUGUUUGUUGCAACCCGGUGCUCGCGUUACCCACAAUGCCACAGGACCGUUCCGCGCUUAGCCGGAGAUUUGGCUGCGUUUUGCAAGCUAGCAUAGCGUAGCCUCGCCCCGUUAGCCUCCGGCCCGGAAGACAGAGGUUUGAUGAGCUCACAAAUCAUACUUUAAGAAAGCGAGACUACACAAAAAUAUGCCAUGAACCCUGCAGGUUAACGCAACUGAUUCUCUCCCUGGGAUUUACUCUGUGGUUUAUACUUAUAUAUAAGUAUAUACUUAUAGCUUCAGAUGGAAGUACAAAAUAAAAGCUCAUCCGUAGUUUAUUAUUUUCUUCAUUAAAACAAGAGAGAGAAGCUUUAAUUCCAGAGAGAGAAGAUAAAAUACUGAACCUGGAAGCUGAAAAACCUGAACUUGGUCCUCCGUCCGUCGUCCUCGUCCUCUUCCUUCCAAAGAGAAGAACCCGGUCAAGACGGCGCUAUUAACAGCUGUUCGCGCCACCUUGCCGGUCUGGCUCUUUAUUGAGCCUGAAGGUAGCUGUAACCCGGCGCCCGUCACACUUUGUGGUAAACAAACAAAUGAACCCUGAGCACAGCAGGAAUCUGCUGCUUGUUUGUUUUGUUGUUGUUGCGUGUGGCGAAUCGCAAUCGUGCAGACGGGAUACGCGGACGGUAACGCCACUCUGUCCGCGCCAAGAAGCCGCAAACAGAAGGUUUACAAAGUGGCCCCGGGCCGGAGGUGAUUGGGCACAGGUGAACUCUCAAUGCAUAAGCUGUGUUGGUGAGAGGAAGCCUCAACCAUAACCGUUGGUCCUUCUUGUCUUCAUCUACCUUUGUACUCGAGAAAAUACACAAUGAAAUCAGGUACAAAAGGAAAUAAGUGCUUGCUGGUAGCCACCAAAAAGGAAAAUCUUCAUCAUGAGCUCUUUUUGUCAGUGAAAAGAGAUGUUUCCCAACCUAUCGAGUAAUACAUUUUAUAAUCAUAUAUUUGAGCAUAUUUAAUAAUAACACCUGAACGUGUGUGUGUUUGAGAAGCACUCGUACGACGUGGCUGCUUUUUCUCGUCCUCACAAUCUAUUUUCAAGGCAAUAACCAAAGUUGCUUGUUGAAGAAAGUAUUUCAAAUAUACUUUUAAUUGUAUGUUUUUUGGAUAUUGCAGAGGGGGAAAAAAAGCGCCACAUACCUGGCUCCAUCCAUCUAAUAUGAAUUCAUAGUGUGAUACCUGGAGUUUAUUAAUUCAGGGCCACAGAGACAGCUGAAUAAUGAAAUUUAAUGAAAAUUUUAGAUGGACUAAAAGUCAGACUGCUUCGGUCAUUAAUUUUAAAAGCACACAUACCGUCAGUCGCACGGUAAUGAUAAAUUCCUACAUUGGGCUUCAUGCCAUGAAGUUUAGUAACUAUACUGCCUAGAAAGGACUCCAGUGGAAUCCAAGGUCCCAGGAUAUGAAAUAGAUUUCCAGAAAAUUAGCACAAUUUGAAAAUAGGACUGAAGGAAAAGGUUUUUUUUGUUUGGGGAAAUAACAGAUUAUUAAAAACAAAUCAAGGACCUCUAUAACUUUAUUAAAACAUUUCAAAUGACACUUUGUUUUUCUUUAAAAGGGCAAAAGGAGUAUGCAUCCCCUUCCAAAGUAAUAUCUCAUUAUGCUGCGUUGGACAGGUUGUCCUUCAUAACAGUUUGCAGGAAGAAUUUAACAUGUGUAACCUAUAAAAAUAUGUAUGAUUGAUAAGAAUAUAAUGUUUUUCUGCGGUCUGUUGAUUCUUUUAGCACAUGUGGCCAUUGUAGGUAAAAAAUAAUGUCUUAUAUUACGAGAAAAAGUAUAAAUUCCUAAUUCUACAUUUUUGCCAUUUAAAGUACAAUAUAUUGUUUCCCAGCUGUCUGGUUAUUAUUUUCUUUUUUAAAGUUGACAUUCGGACGAUAUGUAUAUAUGAUAUAAAAAUAGUGUGGACAUACAGUACCUAUUCCUUUUUUCUAACCCCAUAUCAUUUUUGUACUGUCCCUUAUGUGGACUUACUAAUUGGUGAUGUAUUCUUGCAUGUUACUUUUUGAAUUGUUACUAUUAAAUAAAUCCUAUUUUCAGAUGAACUGACAUGUAUCCAAAGUUGAACUGGCUGAUUGCGUACAAGCAGAGUCUGAUGGCACCACUACGGAGGACAAACUGGCCCACGCAUUACGUUCCUCUGAAGACAAAAGGUGGAGGAAGUCGCAAUAAAUCACUUGUGU